UCCUCUGUAGCUCAGUUGGUAGAGCGGUAGGAUGUUAGCCUAUGUCUGUCCUGGGUUCGAGUCCCAGCGGAGGGA
rnacentral:tRNA from 1 species